GAGACACCCUUCUGGAACAAGACUUGCUUCAGUGGGGCUUUGGUACUCACUGAGUCUGCCCCAAGUGUGUCCCU
rfam:Myotis davidii contig129632, whole genome shotgun sequence.